GUUUGAGGGCAAACCUUUGAAUUGUUCUCAUCUCAUGCUAUUGCUCUACACUUCCUUAUGCUAUGAAGAUAGCUGGAGAGUCGGUCACAUUCCUGGAACAGACUGAACUUUGAGAGACUGGUUUUCUAUGUGAAAUAGUGGCACCCGAUCUGCCGUUACGCUGCAGGAAGGAGGCUUUUGGGGUUGUUUCUCUGGCCCCAACCCAAGUGCAUGUACACACAACCACACUGCCAAAUUCCCCCAGUUGACAGCAGAGAGAAGGGAGGAAAAUGAGAGAGCAGAAAAAGAAGAGAAAUAAGUCCUAUUUUUCUACCUCUAGGCUCUGAAACAGGUCUUGGCUGCACUACUUAUAGGAAAGAUACAAUUGCAAUUAAACUCCUAACAAUGUAGCAUACCUGUUAAAAACAAAUGAACAAACAAAAACACAUUUCCAUAACUUUUAUUGUCCUGUAUCUUUGUACAUGGACUCUGUAAGUCCUACUUUAAAAUGGCAAACUGCUUUUGUGCUGAGCCUAGUAUUAGAAGAAUACUUCCUGCUCUUGGGAAGGAAGGCAAUUCAGACAUAAUAUGUCAGAUCAGUCCUGGGAUUAUCUUCCACAGGCACUCACCUCUCUUCCCCUCCCCAUAUUCUUCCAAUAGCAUCACACUAUGCUGAAUACCAGUAAACUGCUGUUCAUUGAGGACUGGGCUUAUAAUGUGAACAUCACGGUACU
rnacentral:lncRNA from 7 species